rnacentral:rRNA from 1 species
GAUGAACGCUGGCGGCGUGCCUAAUACAUGCAAGUCGAGCGAACGGACGAGAAGCUUGCUUCUCUGAUGUUAGCGGCGGACGGGUGAGUAACACGUGGAUACCCUACCUAUAAGACUGGGAUAACUUCGGGACACCGUAGCUAAUACCGGAUAAUAUUUUGAACCGCAUGGUUCAAAAGUGAAAGACGGUCUUGCUGUCACUUCUAGAUGGAUCCGCGCUGCAUUAGCUAGUUGGUAAGGUAACGGCUUACCAAGGCAACGAUGCAUAGCCGACCUGAGAGGGUGAUCGGCCACACUGGAACUGAGACACGGUCCAGACUCCUACGGGAGGCAGCAGUAGGGAAUCUUCCGCAGUGGGCGAAAGCCUGACGGAGCAACGCCGCGUGAGUGAUGAAGGUCUUCGGAUCGUAAAACUCUGUUAUUAGGGAAGAACAUAUGUGUAAGUAACUGUGCACAUCGUGACGGUACCUAAUCAGAAAGCCACGGCUAACUACGUG